rnacentral:tRNA from 1 species
GGUUAUGGCUCAGCGGUAGAGUGCUUGCCUAGCAUGUGUGGGGCCCUGUGUUCAAUUCUCAGCACCA